UAAUUAAAAGGUUUAUUGAUUAGCUGC
rnacentral:piRNA from 1 species